ACUCCUACGGGAGGCAGCAGUGGGGAAUAUUGCACAAUGGGCGCAAGCCUGAUGCAGCCAUGCCGCGUGUGUGAAGAAGGCCUUCGGGUUGUAAAGCACUUUCAGUUGUGAGGAAAGGUUAGUCGCUAAUAUCGGCUAGCUGUGACGUUAGCAACAGAAGAAGCACCGGCUAACUACGUGCCAGCAGCCGCGGUAAUACGUAGGGUGCAAGCGUUGUCCGGAAUUAUUGGGCGUAAAGAGCUCGUAGGCGGCUUGUCGCGUCUGCCGUGAAAACCUCAGGCUCAACCUGGGGCGUGCGGUGGGUACGGGCAGGCUAGAGUGCGGUAGGGGAGAUUGGAAUUCCUGGUGUAGCGGUGGAAUGCGCAGAUAUCAGGAGGAACACCGAUGGCGAAGGCAGAUCUCUGGGCCGUAACUGACGCUGAGGAGC
rnacentral:rRNA from 1 species